rnacentral:rRNA from 1 species
AUUGAACGCUGGCGGCAGGCCUAACACAUGCAAGUCGAGCGGAUGAAGGGAGCUUGCUCCUGGAUUCAGCGGCGGACGGGUGGGUAAUGCCUAGGAAUCUGCCUGGUAGUGGGGGAUAACGUCCGGAAACGGGCGCUAAUACCGCAUACGUCCUGAGGGAGAAAGUGGGGGAUCUUCGGACCUCACGCUAUCAGAUGAGCCUAGGUCGGAUUAGCUAGUUGGUGGGGUAAAGGCCUACCAAGGCGACGAUCCGUAACUGGUCUGAGAGGAUGAUCAGUCACACUGGAACUGAGACACGGUCCAGACUCCUACGGGAGGCAGCAGUGGGGAAUAUUGACAAUGGGCGGAAGCCUGAUCCAGCCAUGCCGCGUGUGUGAAGAAGGUCUUCGGAUUGUAAAGCACUUUAAGUUGGGAGGAAGGGCAGUAAGUUAAUACCUUGCUGUUUUGACGUUACCAACAGAAUAAGCACCGGCUAACUUCGUG